UAAAAGGGUCGGUUGGCUAAAUAUGCCACUCUCACCCUUGUUUGGUGAGUGCUGUUAUGGCUAUCAAGACAUAUGGCCGACAUAAUUUGUGACAACUUAAUAAGGUUGGCUCCUUUGGCCGAGCCAAAUAUUGUGUUAGCUAUUUA
rnacentral:snRNA from 1 species